rnacentral:tRNA from 1 species
AUUGGGAUGACUGACAAAAGUAAUAAACUGUAAAUUUAUAAAUGAAUUAAAUUAAUUAAUUCUCUCAAUA